GGGGGUUUCAGUUCCUCUUGACCUCAUCAAGACACUGUUGUCUAGAACCUUCUUUCUGCCCAUCACGGUAAUUGGAGAUGCUGCUAACUAGCUCCCACCUCUGCCUGCCCGCUUCAUGCCUGCCAUCCUUGGCAUCCCUACUUGAAAAAAAGCUCUCCAUUUUUGCAGGAAACCCGAGUGAAGGCUGAGUGCCCCAUGAGGGACCCGGGCUCUGACACAGACAGACUGUCCCGGCUGGAGUCCAGCUCCUGGACGACCUGGGUCUCCCCGUUCUGCACUGGUAUCGCGCGGUGAGGCGGCGCUGAUCAGAACCUCAAAAGACCUGACCCCGAACACCGUCAUCCCAAAUCCUGAGCUCCUGAAAGAUCAAAACCUAACAUGUUGGUGUUCUGACCAGUUUCUCUGUGAAUGGUUCAUCUGCACAUAACUCAUAUCCACGUGACUGAAUGAGCACACCUGUGUGUCUGUGCUGGAGAAAAUGUUAUGAUCACCGACUUUAUUGGGAUGUCAGCAUUCAGAACUGUGUCCCAGGAUCGUGGCCCAGACCCACAGGGCAGGGGCGUGCACUUUUGAGGGUUCUGAAGACGACUCAACAGGGUGCCUGACCUGCUGGUAAGGACUCAGGAGACCUCACCUGUCCUCGUCACACUCAUGGAAGGGGACUCCAGAUCCCUGGCGUAGCUGGUCUGGGAACUGGGGAGGGAUGGGCAGUGCCCGGUAUAGGGUGCAACCUCCAGUGCCCACAUUAGCACGUCUGUUGCUGUGAGAUUCUAUCCUGUGGACACCUGUGGCUGUAACACACACCUUCCCACUGCUGUCACAGGAGUGAUACUCUUUCCGAUUCUAACAUCAGUGUGUGCACAUUUUGGGAAAACCAGCAAGUACAGAAGAAGAAUUUAGGCCGGGCCCAGUGGCUCACGCCUGGAAUCCCAGCACUUCGGGAAGUCAAGGCAGGAGGAUCGCUGGAGGCCAGGAGUUUGAGAUCAGCCCGGGCAACAUAGUGAGACCUCAUCUCUAUUUAAGAAAGAAAAAGACCACUGGUCCUCCCAGUGUUUACAAGAUUUUUCCAUUAAAACAGGAGGGAUCAUAAUGAGCGGCCUAACAAAGACAUUUAAAGACACGCCAAGAAGGGGCG
rnacentral:lncRNA from 1 species